CGCAUAACGCGAAGAACCUUACCCACCUUUGACAUGUACGGAAUCCUUUAGAGAUAGAGGAGUGCUCGAAAGAGAGCCGUAACACAGGUGCUGCAUGGCUGUCGUCAGCUCGUGUCGUGAGAUGUUGGGUUAAGUCCCGCAACGAGCGCAACCCUUGCCAUUAGUUGCUACAUUUAGUUGAGCACUCUAAUGGGACUGCCGGUGACAAACCGGAGGAAGGUGGGGAUGACGUCAAGUCCUCAUGGCCCUUAUAGGUGGGGCUACACACGUCAUACAAUGGCUGGUACAAAGGGUUGCCAACCCGCGAGGGGGAGCUAAUCCCAUAAAGCCAGUCGUAGUCCGGAUCGCAGUCUGCAACUCGACUGCGUGAAGUCGGAAUCGCUAGUAAUCGUGGAUCAGAAUGUCACGGUGAAUACGUUCCCGGGUCUUGUACACACCG
rnacentral:rRNA from 1 species